rnacentral:rRNA from 1 species
AUUGAACGCUGGCGGCAGGCCUAACACAUGCAAGUCGAGCGAGUGGCGGACGGGUGAGUAAUGUAUGGGAAACUGCCUGAUAGAGGGGGAUCACUACUGGAAACGGUGGCUAAUACCGCAUACUAUCGGAUGAAACAAUAGGGGAUUAGCUAGUAGGUGGGGUAAAGGCUCACCUAGGCGACGAUCUCUAGCUGGUCUGGGAGGAUGACCAGCCACACUGGGCCUGAGACACGGCCCAGACUCCUACGGGAGGCAGCAGUGGGGAAUAUUGCACAAUGGGCGCAAGCCUGAUGCAGCCAUGCCGCGUGUAUGAAGAAGGCCUUAGGGUUGUAAAGUACUUUCAGCGGGGAGGCGUUACCCGCAGAAGAAGCACCGGCUAACUCCGUGCCAGCAGCCGCGGUAAUUC